GCACUGCAUAGCUUUGCAUCUUUACACAUCUCUCACAAACAGCCUUGCUGGUCCUCUUUGUUUGGCCGAGAGGCAAGAUCUACUGGAAAGAAACAGAAGGCAGGUGCAAGGGCUUCUUGCAGAAAUGUACAACAAAAGAAAACAUAAAAGAGGACAGCAACAGACUAUAGACUGCAUAUGUCUGAAAUAUACUGCAUCAUCGUUCUCCAAGACACGUGCCUCCCCUCCCCACCUUCGUGUUUUCUAGGGAUCCCAAGAGGUUUUGGGGUCCCUGGGGAGAGCGAGGCAGAGGUCAGAAAAGGGCCCCUCAGGCUGCUUGAUAUCUAGAGAGACAGGAGGUCGAACCAUGUGCUGUAUCUUAUCCCCCCUCCAAUCACAAUAUUAUUCAUGCACACACAGAAAUAAAACACACACACCAGUAUACCUCAGCAGACACAACUCUCCUGACUUGAUGGAUACACACUCUAUAUAGCCAAAUAUAUCAGACAACUAAACUGAUUCAGACAUGUGAUAAAGACUAGUGAAACACUUCAUCUCAGUAUAGUCUUGGGAUGUUUUUUUGUUUUGUUUAGGCAAUUAAAGGUUUUAAUUGAUUGAUUGAUUUACUGUGACCUUCCCAUCAAAACAACCUUUCAUAGAUUAUUUUAAUUAUUUUGAACAAAACCUUUUUAAAACAUGCUUUAAAGAAAGCAAUAGGCUACAUUAAUUUGUGACUGUUGGUUUUACAUAAUUGCAAUACAGGUUACAAUUCUGGAGAUUGCAAUAUUAAAAAUAAAUGCCCCAAAAUCCCCCAUAUGUAUUUUGUUGGCUUGUGUGUAUAUAAAGCCAGUAUAAUGCUUUUGAAGUUGUAAGGAAAUACAUUUUUAAAACGGAAAUGUUUUGCCUCUUUCUUUACAAGCCUCUGGUAGGGUAUGCUAAUUUUGCCCACGUUUGAGUUAGAUAAUUAGGAUAGGCCUUAUAAAUAGUUAAUUAUUUAUAAUAUAAAAUUCAGAGGAAAAUUGUUGCAAUUCAAUUAAAACAAUUCUGCAAUAUCAAGAGUGCAAGUUCUUAUGUUUUGCUUUUGUCAAGUGCGCUGAAGACGCACGAAUAGUGAAGAUCUAACGCCCCCUGUUGGACAAACAUUUUCAUUUCAAUGUCUUGCCGCCAUUUUAUGAUUAACUCGUCGGGACUCCGGAGGUCGAAAACACACACAGUCACUACGUGAUACUUACGAUCGUUUUAAACAAAGUCAGCAUUCAUGAAGUUAGAUGUUUACAAACAUAAAUGAGCUUUGUUUACAGAAGUAAAAACUGCAUCCGCGUUCAGGUUUGAAGAAGUGGAAACAGCGCCACAGUGAGAUCGUUGAAGAAAAUCUGUCAAAGGAUUAAACGGAAGCAGAUAAAACACGGUUCCUGUGAGAAAUAAGAGAUGGAAACGAUUGGAUAAAGACUCUGGUUUUGCUUGUGGGGUCGGCAGGGGGAUGCCUCUGAGCUUAUUACAAAAACAAAAUGGAAAACGUGAUACAACAUUUGGAGUACACCACACAUGGAGCAAAGCAACUGUAUGCCACAAAUCCUCCCGAAAAAGACAACCCACAGCCCUGACCCCUUUUGAAAAGGAGUCAUGCAGGCCCUAAAUUCAAGCAGUUGUUUUUUACACCCUGUGUGAAAACAGGGCAUAUUUGGAUUAUUGUUCCCCAUAAGGGAUCUGAAUGUAUUUUUAGGACUUUAAAGUGGAAACCAGUGCUAGUUGACACUUAGUUGUGUUGUUGACACUUAUUAAGUAACAAGGUUUAGAUUAAACCAGGAUUGGGCCUUAAUUAAAUUUGGACACUUAAGUCGCUUUUAUAAAUGUGGCUUAGAAAAAACAUUUUUGGUGUGCAUCUUAAGACAAAACAUGCAAUCUGUUUUCAGUGAAGACAUCUCAAACAUGUAUUUCAAUCUGGGACUACACUGUAA